UACGGAGGAUGCAAGCGUUAUCCGGAAUCAUUGGGCGUAAAGGGUCCUGAGGUGGUUUGCUAAGUCUACUGUGAAAGAUCAGGGCUCAACCCUGAAGAUGCGGUGGAAACUGGCAGGCUAGAAUACGGUAGGGGCAGAGGGAAUUUCCGGUGGAGCGGUGAAAUGCGUAGAGAUCGGAAAGAACACCAACGGCGAAAGCACUCUGCUGGGCCGACACUCGACACUGAGAGACGAAAAGCUAGGGGAGCGAAUGGG
rnacentral:rRNA from 1 species